rnacentral:rRNA from 1 species
GACGAACGCUGGCGGCGUGCUUAACACAUGCAAGUCGAACGGAAAGGCCUCUUUCGGGGGGUACUCGAGUGGCGAACGGGUGAGUAACACGUGAGUAGCCUGCCCUUGACUUUGGGAUAACUUCAGGAAACUGGGGCUAAUACCGGAUAGGAGCUCCUGCUGCAUGGUGGGGGUUGGAAAGUUUCGGCGGUUGGGGAUGGACUCGCGGCUUAUCAGCUUGUUGGUGGGGUAGUGGCUUACCAAGGCUUUGACGGGUAGCCGGCCUGAGAGGGUGACCGGCCACAUUGGGACUGAGAUACGGCCCAGACUCCUACGGGAGGCAGCAGUGGGGAAUAUUGCACAAUGGGUGGAAGCCUGAUGCAGCAACGCCGGGUGCGGGAUGACGGCCUUCGGGUUGUAAACCGCUUUCGCUCAUGACGAAGCUUUGUGUGACGGUAGUGGGUAAAGAAGCACCGGCUAACUACGUG